rnacentral:rRNA from 1 species
ACUCCUACGGGAGGCAGCAGUGGGGAAUUUUGGACAAUGGGCGCAAGCCUGAUCCAGCCAUUCCGCGUGAGUGAAGAAGGCCUUCGGGUUGUAAAGCUCUUUCGCAAGGGAAGAAAACUUACAUUCUAAUAAAGUGUGAGGCUGACGGUACCUUGAUAAGAAGCACCGGCUAACUACGUGCCAGCAGCCGCGGUAAUACGUAGGGCGCGAGCGUUAAUCGGAAUUACUGGGCGUAAAGCGUGCGCAGGCGGUUUUGUAAGUCAGAUGUGAAAUCCCCGAGCUCAACUUGGGAACUGCGUUUGAAACUACAAGACUAGAAUAUGUCAGAGGGGGGUAGAAUUCCACGUGUAGCAGUGAAAUGCGUAGAGAUGUGGAGGGAUACCAAUGGCGAAGGCAGCCCCCUGGGAUAAUAUUGACGCUCAUGCACGAAAGCGUGGGGAGCAAACAGGAUUAGAUACCCUGGUAGUCCACGCCCUAAACGAUGUCUACUAGUUGUUGGUGGAGUAAAAUCCAUGAGUAACGCAGCUAACGCGUGAAGUAUACCGCCUGGGGAGUACGGUCGCAAGAUUAAAACUCGCAGGAAUUGACGGGGGCCCGCACCAUCUGUGGAUUAUGUGCAUUAAUUCGAUGCCGCGCGAAAAACCUUACCUGGCCUGCCACAUGCCACUGAUAUACCACAGAUGCAUUACGUGCUCAAAGCAGAAAGUGGACACACGACCCUCCAU